CCAGUGGCGGAUCCAGGGGGGGGGCAACGGGGCAAUUGCCCCCCCCGAGAAUUCCGCCGGUCUCCCUCCCCUGCCAACCCUGCAAUGUGCCUGUGGACCGGAAGGGAGAUCACAGAUCUCCCUCCCCGGUCCGCAGGCACUGUGCUGGCGGCCGGCGGCGGAGGGAGGGAGUGAGAGGGAGGACCCGGAGCUCAGGCUGCAGCUCCUCCGGGUCCUCCUCUCGUGAGAUUUGAAACGUUGCCGCGGUUACCACGGCAACGCUCCAAAUCUCGCGAGAGUGAACUCUAGCCCGGGAGCGCGGGCUAGAGUUCACUGUAACCACUGGGACCACCAGGGAUCGAAAUAUGUCCCCCCUCCUCCCCAGUAAAGGUAAGAAGGGAGGGGGGACAUAGGAUAAUAUUUAUUUUAAUUAAAU